rnacentral:rRNA from 1 species
UACGUAGGGGGCAAGCGUUGUCCGGAUUUAUUGGGCGUAAAGAGCGUGUAGGCGGUCUGGUAGGUCCGUUGUGAAAACUCGAGGCUCAACCUCGAGACGCCGAUGGAAACCAUCAGACUAGAGUCCGGAAGAGGAGAGUGGAAUUCCUGGUGUAGCGGUGAAAUGCGCAGAUAUCAGGAAGAACACCAAUGGCGAAGGCAGCUCGCUGGGACGUGACUGACGCUGAGACGCGAAAGCGUGGGGAGCAAACAGG